AGUUCCCAGGGCCCGCCAGCCCCGAGGGGUGCCCUCGGCCGCAAAAUGCCGCGGGGCCUCAGCGUGUGGAGCUGCUCGGGAGGUCGAACCCGAAGGUACCUAGUGUGGCGCCAUGGCGCCAUCGAGGACGUCGGGAGAAACUGAGGCGCAGGGAGAAGGUUGGGCUUCCUGGAGUACAGAGCGAGGCGCCACUAACUGAGCGCCUACUGCGUGUUGCGCGCUUUGGUGCCCUGGGUUCAUUGACUUAAUGCUCACGAAGACCCGAGAACUCUAAGCCAGAACCUAAGGGGGCCAGAAGCUGGGAUCCAAGUCUACUUGUCCCACCCCCUCCACUGGAACUCCCUGGCCCCCAGCUCUGCACAGCUCCUGCCCUGCAGCCCUCGCCUGGCUGUGCUCCGGGAAGUCCUCGUGGGCACUUCACCCUGCUCUGCAGCCACACUCACACCCUAGAUCCAGGUCACACUAGAGGCAAAGACCCCACUGGCUCGGACUUCACCAACCUGGAGCAGGGGAGAGAAGCUAAGUUCUGACCUUUGAUCAGAAGAUGGGGAAGCCACACUCAACACGUCACUGCCUUGGGAGGUGGAUUUGGGGAUGGUGGGUCCUGGGGAAAAACGGGCUUUUGGUGUGGAAAUGACAUCUUUCCUGUUUCCGACCUCUGCCUGCCUCAUGCCAGGUGAGACACCUUCAUGCCUGUUUCCAUGAUUGAGAACAUGGGAGUACGCUUCUUUCCACCUACGUUCCUGGUGGAUUUUCACUGGAGUUGGGCUGCACUGUGGAAAAGGGGUUGGGCAGCUCCUGUGGCACAGUGAGGGGGCAUAGAAGCCCAAGGCAGUCGGUAAGAAAUCACCAAUUUAUUGAAUGAAAAA